ACACAGGGAACUUUCAAGCUACCCUAAAAGUAUCAGGGUCCUCUUGGCAAAGGGAAAAUGGGGAGAACAGAUACUGGGCAGGCUGCCAGCAGAGUGGUCACUUCUUUCAUCCUAAAGCUGUGGUCAGAGAGGAGAGAAGAUUUCCAGGAACAAGAAGGGGGAAAGGAAUUAGGCGUGCUGGAAGAUGGACUGCCCUCCAAUGGUGUGCCCCGAUCUACAGUCCCAGGUGGAAUAUCCAACCCAGAGAAGAAGACGAACUGUGAGACCCAGUGCCCAAAUCCCCAGAGCCUCAGCUCAGGCCCUCUGACCCAGAAACAGAAUGGCCUUCAGACCACAGAGGCUAAAAGAGAUGCUAAGAGAAUGUCUGCAAAAGAAGUCACCAUUAAUGUAACAGAUAGCAUCCAACAGAUGGACAGAAGUCGAAGAAUCACAAAGAACUGUGUCAACUAGCAGAGAGUCCAAGCAGAAGGGCAGAUGGACUUC
rnacentral:sRNA from 1 species